CGGGAUGUAGCUCAGUCCGGUAGAGUAUGCGCCUGGGGGGCGUGGGGUCGGGAGUUCAAGUCUCCCCAUCCCGA
rnacentral:tRNA from 1 species